rnacentral:rRNA from 1 species
GACGAACGCUGGCGGCGUGCCUAAUACAUGCAAGUAGAACGCACAGUUUAUACCGUAGCUUGCUACACCAUAGACUGUGAGUUGCGAACGGGUGAGUAACGCGUAGGUAACCUGCCUGGUAGCGGGGGAUAACUAUUGGAAACGAUAGCUAAUACCGCAUAAUAUUAAUUAUUGCAUGAUAAUUAAUUGAAAGGUGCAAUUGCACCACUACCAGAUGGACCUGCGUUGUAUUAGCUAGUAGGUGAGGUAACGGCUCACCUAGGCGACGAUACAUAGCCGACCUGGGAGGGUGAUCGGCCAAACUGGGACUGAGACACGGCCCAGACUCCUACGGGAGGCAGCAGUAGGGAAUCUUCGGCAAUGGAAGAAAGUCUGACCGAGCAACGCCGCGUGAGUGAAGAAGGUUUUCGGAUCGUAAAGCUCUGUUGUAAGAGAAGAACGGGUGUGAGAGUGGAAAGUUCACACUGUGACGGUAUCUUAACAGAAAGGGACGGCUAACUACGUG